rnacentral:tRNA from 1 species
GGAAAGGUGGCCGAGUGGCCGAUGGCGCGUCCCUGCUAAGGACGUGUACCUCCGGGUACCGUGGGUUCGAAUCCCACCCUUUCCG